UACGGGGGGUGCAAGCGUUGUUCGGAAUUAUUGGGCGUAAAGCGCACGUAGGCGGAUUGCUAAGUCAGGGGUGAAAUCCUGGAGCUCAACUCCAGAACUGCCUUUGAUACUGGCGAUCUCGAGUCCGGGAGAGGUGAGUGGAACUGCGAGUGUAGAGGUGAAAUUCGUAGAUAUUCGCAAGAACACCAGUGGCGAAGGCGGCUCACUGGCCCGGUACUGACGCUGAGGUGCGAAAGCGUGGGGAGCAAACAGG
rnacentral:rRNA from 1 species